rnacentral:rRNA from 1 species
UACAGGCUUAACACAUGCAAGUCGAGGGGAAACGACAUCGAAAGCUUGCUUUUGAUGGGCGUCGACCGGCGCACGGGUGAGUAACGCGUAUCCAACCUGCCCACCACUUGGGGAUAACCUUGCGAAAGUAAGACUAAUACCCAAUGACGUCUCUAGAAGACAUCUGAAAGAGAUUAAAGAUUUAUCGGUGAUGGAUGGGGAUGCGUCUGAUUAGCUUGUUGGCGGGGUAACGGCCCACCAAGGCAACGAUCAGUAGGGGUUCUGAGAGGAAGGUCCCCCACAUUGGAACUGAGACACGGUCCAAACUCCUACGGGAGGCAGCAGUGAGGAAUAUUGGUCAAUGGACGAGAGUCUGAACCAGCCAAGUAGCGUGCAGGAUGACGGCCCUAUGGGUUGUAAACUGCUUUUAUAAGGGAAUAAAGUGAGUCUCGUGAGACUUUUUGCAUGUACCUUAUGAAUAAGGACCGGCUAAUUCCGUGCCAGCAGCCGCGGUAAUACGGAAGGUCCGGGCGUUAUCCGGAUUUAUUGGGUUUAAAGGGAGCGUAGGCCGGAGAUUAAGCGUGUUGUGAAAUGUAGACGCUCAACGUCUGCACUGCAGCGCGAACUGGUUUCCUUGAGUACGCACAAAGUGGGCGGAAUUCGUGGUGUAGCGGUGAAAUGCUUAGAUAUCACGAAGAACUCCGAUUGCGAAGGCAGCUCACUGGAGCGCAACUGACGCUGAAGCUCGAAAGUGCGGGUAUCGAACAGGAUUAGAUACCCUGGUAGUCCGCACGGUAAACGAUGGAUGCCCGCUGUUGGUCUGAAUAGGUCAGCGGCCAAGCGAAAGCA